UACGUAGGGGCAAGCGUUGUCCGGAUUUAUUGGGCGUAAAGAGCGUGUAGGCGGCCAGAUAGGUCAGCUGUGAAAACUCGAGGCUCAACCUCGAGACGUCGGUUGAAACCAUCUGGCUAGAGUCCGGAAGAGGAGAGUGGAAUUCCCGGUGUAGCGGUGAAAUGCGCAGAUAUCGGGAAGAACACCCGUGGCGAAGGCGGCUCUCUGGGACGGUACUGACGCUGAGACGCGGAAAAGCGUGGGGAGCGAACAGG
rnacentral:rRNA from 1 species